rnacentral:misc_RNA from 1 species
UCGAUGGUAAACGCAUAUGAAUUAUUAUAUUGUAACAACAGUGAUGCAAGUAGGUAUACCACGGAUGCUGUUAUAAUUCUGAAAUCUCAUGGCUUUGUAAAAAAAUCGCAAAAUAGAACGCGUUCGAGUUUUUCAUACCAGAGUUUCGGCCCAUCGUCCGGUACAGUCGACAGAAUCAUCAGUUUGUGUGACUGUUGCAGAGAGCGUAACGGUUAAACUGUUUAACUCUACUAGAUAUAAUAUAUAGUUUAAUACAACGGACUGAUUUACCUUGAAUUAUGUAAGUUGCCGGCUAUUUGGUUGAAACCAUAUGAUAAUUAUGAGCAGCGGUGCACCACUUUUUGAAUUCGAAAAUGUUAUUAAUUGCUUUACAUUGUAAAGUUGACCUCGUUCUUUUGAAUCUUAAACGCUCUAGUGAAUUUUACACACGAUUUAAGUUAGAACCGAAAUCUCUCAUUGCGGGAUUACAAUUGUGUGGAAAGUAUAAAUGGCCCGUCAAGUGAAGGAACGAGUUCAAUAUACCUUGUACAAGAUUACACUGUAGACUUAAUUCUGCGAUACUUCCAUCUUUCGUGUGCGUGUCACUCAGCUUGUCUAACAAGUGCGUUCAUAUUUUACGCGCUAUUUGGCGUGUCAAUCUCAGUUCAAGACAAGUCUUGGAUUAAUUUUUCAGGCAAGCUGCAAUACACUGCUCACGAUACAC